GGCUGGUCCAAGCGCAGUAGUGUUUAUAACUAAUUGAUCACAACCAGUUACAGAUUCCUUUGUUCCUUCUGCACUCCUACUGCUUCACUUGACUGCCUUUA
rnacentral:Y_RNA from 1 species